AUUGAACGCUGGCGGCAGGCUUAACACAUGCAAGUCGAGCGGAGAGAGGUAGCUUGCUACCGAUCUUAGCGGCGGACGGGUGAGUAAUGCUUAGGAAUCUGCCUAUUAGUGGGGGACAACAUUUCGAAAGGAAUGCUAAUACCGCAUACGUCCUACGGGAGAAAGCAGGGGAUCUUCGGACCUUGCGCUAAUAGAUGAGCCUAGGUCGGAUUAGCUAGUUGGUGAGGUAAUGGCUCACCAAGGCUACGAUCCGUAACUGGUCUGAGAGGAUGAUCAGUCACACUGGAACUGAGACACGGUCCAGACUCCUACGGGAGGCAGCAGUGGGGAAUAUUGGACAAUGGGCGGAAGCCUGAUCCAGCCAUGCCGCGUGUGUGAAGAAGGCCUUAUGGUUGUAAAGCACUUUAAGCGAGGAGGAGGCUACUUUAGUUAAUACCUAGAGAUAGUGGACGUUACUCGCAGAAUAAGCACCGGCUAACUCUGUGCCAGCCGCCGCUGUAACAC
rnacentral:rRNA from 1 species